rnacentral:lncRNA from 13 species
CCCAGAUUAACACAGCCCAGAGCCCACCCACGGCACCCAGAUUAACACAGCCCCAGAGCCCACCCACAGCACCCAGAUUAACACAGCCCCGAGCCCGCCCACGGCACCCAGAUUAAUACAGCCCCAGAGCUCACCCACGGCACCCAGAUUAACACAGCCCCAGAGCCCACCCACGGCACCCAUAUUAACACAGCCCCAAGCCCACCCACGGCACCCAGAUUAACACAGCCAGGGAUGCCUCCACGCAGCCCAGAUUAGAAUUCUGAUUUGCUGAAGUAGGAAUCACACAGUGCCCCAGGAGCGUCAGUCUUACACUUCUUUUUCUCCCAGCUCUUUCCAGUUUAAUAUGGUUACAGUAAAUGUGUCCAGCUCAAAAAAACGUUUAAAGACCAGCCACGAUCUCUCUUCAGUGUGAAGGGAAAUAACAUUCUGGAUAUUAGUUGAACCUUUAUUUGGCAUCUCAAGACACAUUCAGGUGAAUUCUUUCUCGCUGCUCUAAAAUAGCAUUUCAAUGCUUUCUGCAAGAAGCCACAGGGCCCCUACUGUCCAGCUUCAAUAAAGCGAUUAUUCCAAAGGAACGGCUGCUCUUGGCUGAAAACUGCUCACAUGUGGUGCUCUUUCUUCCAGGCAGCUAUUUUUAACUCUGCUGUUUCCACAAGGUCACGGCAAUGAGAGUGUUGGAUGUGGCGCUGAGGUGGCCCAAGAACACAUUCUUCCUCUUGAAGUUAUUAGAUUCUUGGGGGUCCCUGGCAAGGAUUGGGAAACCUUUCAUUCACCAGGGAUUGAGCCUGGCUGUGCUGUUGAAAGAAACAUCAGCUUCUCCUCAUCCUGCCAAACAGGGAAGCUGCACAGCCCUGCCCCAGUACAGACCCCAGAGACUGUCGAGGAGAAUGCAGAGGCUUCACCAAGCAUUGCCUCAGGACCCCUGA